rnacentral:rRNA from 1 species
ACAGAGGGUGCAAGCGUUAAUCGGAUUACUGGGCGUAAAGCGUGUGUAGGUGGUGGCGUAAGUCGAUUGUGAAUCCCCGGCUCAACCUGGAACUGCUUUCGAUACUGCGUCACUAGAGUACGGUAGAGGGUGGUGGAAUUUCCGGUGUAGCGGUGAAAUGCGUAGAUAUCGGAAGGAACAUCAAUGGCGAAGGCAACCACCUGGCCUGUACUGACACUGAGACACGAAAGCGUGGGGAUCAAACAGGAUUAGAUACCCCGGUAGUCC